AACAUGUYUUAUUGAAUUUUAAUUUUAAGUUYAAUCUGCUCCAUGAUUAUUUAAAUAGCUGCAGUAUUUUGACUGUACAAAGGUAGCAUAAUAAAUAGUUUUUUAAUUAAAAGCUAGAAUGAAUGAUUGGAUAAGGUAAAUAUUGUCUCAAAUUUAAUAGUAUUAGAAUUUUUUUUUUAGUAAAAAUACUAAAAUAAAUUUAAAAGACGAGAAGACCCUAUAGAUUUUUAUAUUUUAAUUUUAAUAAAUUUAAAUUUAAUUAAUUAUUAAAAUAAAAAAUAUUAGGUUGGGGAAAUUAUUAAAUUAAUUAAAUUUUAAUUAAAAUAUUAAACAAAAAUUUUUGAUUUAAAUGAUCCUUUUUUUAAGAUUAAUAGAAUAAAAUACCUUAGGGAUAACAGCGUAAUUUUUUCUGAGAGACCUAAUUGAUGAAAAAGAUUGCGACCUCGAUGUUGAAUUAAAAUAAAAUUUUAAUGUAGAAGUUAAAAAUUUUUGGUCUGUUCGACCAGUAAUAUUUUACGUGAUCUGA
rnacentral:rRNA from 1 species